rnacentral:rRNA from 1 species
CAGUCACUUGGAUGUUGUAGCCCUUGAGGCGUGGCUGUCCGGAGCUAACGCGUUAAUUCGACCGCCUGGGGGAGUACGGCCGCAAGGUUAAAACUCAAAUGAAUUGACGGGGGCCCGCACAAGCGGUGGAGCAUGUGGUUUAAUUCGAUGCAACGCGAAGAACCUUACCUACUCUUGACAUCCACAGAACUUUCCAGAGAUGGAUUGGUGCCUUCGGGAACUGUGAGACAGGUGCUGCAUGGCUGUCGUCAGCUCGUGUUGUGAAAUGUUGGGUUAAGUCCCGCAACGAGCGCAACCCUUAUCCUUUGUUGCCAGCGCGUAAUGGUGGGAACUCAAAGGAGACUGCCGGUGAUAAACCGGAGGAAGGUGGGGAUGACGUCAAGUCAUCAUGGCCCUUACGAGUAGGGCUACACACGUGCUACAAUGGCAUAUACAAAGAGAAGCAAACUCGCGAGAGCAAGCGGACCUCAUAAAGUAUGUCGUAGUCCGGAUCGGAAUCUGCAACUCGACUCCGUGAAGUCGGAAUCGCUAGUAAUCGUAAAUCAGAAUGCUACGGUGAAUACGUUCCCGGGCCUUGUACACACCGCCCGUCACACCAUGGGGAGUGGGUUGCAAAAGAAGUAGGUAGCUUAACCUUCGGGAGGGCGCUUACCACUUUGUGAUUCAUGACUGGGGUGAAUCUAAAGGGGGGGGCCAAAAAAAAGGGGGGGGGGGGGGGUUGGUACUACCCCAGA